UACGGAGGGUGCAAGCGUUACUCGGAAUUACUGGGCGUAAAGCGCGUGUAGGUGGUCUCAUAAGUCUGGUGUGAAAUCCCAGGGCUCAACCCUGGAAGUGCAUUGGAUACUGCGAGACUGGAAUACUGGAGAGGAUGGCGGAAUUCCUGGUGUAGAGGUGAAAUUCGUAGAGAUCAGGAGGAACAUCGGAGGCGAAGGCGGCCAUCUGGACAGUCAUUGACAAUGAGACGCGAAAGAGUGGGGAGCAAACAGG
rnacentral:rRNA from 1 species